rnacentral:rRNA from 1 species
GACAGAGGGGGCAAGCGUUGCUCGGAAUUACUGGGCGUAAAGGGCGCGUAGGCGGGAUGGCAAGUCGGUCGUGAAAUCCCUCGGCUCAACCGAGGAACGUCGAUCGAUACUGCUGUUCUUGAGGAUUGCAGAGGAGACUGGAAUUCCCGGUGUAGCGGUGAAAUGUGUAGAGAUCGGGGAGGAACGACCGGUGGCGAAGGCGGGUCUCUGGGCAAUUCCUGACGCUGAGGCGGCGAAAGCGUGGGGAGCAAACGGG